rnacentral:rRNA from 1 species
GACGAACGCUGGCGGCGUACCUAAUACAUGCAAGUCGAGCGGACUUUCAAGAAGCUUGCUUUUUGAAAGUUAGCGGCGGACGGGUGAGUAACACGUGGGCAACCUGCCUGUAAGACGGGGAUAACUCCGGGAAACCGGGGCUAAUACCGGAUAAUAUCUUUCUUCGCAUGAAGGAAGGUUGAAAGGCGGCGCAAGCUGCCGCUUGCAGAUGGGCCCGCGGCGCAUUAGCUAGUUGGUGAGGUCACGGCUCACCAAGGCGACGAUGCGUAGCCGACCUGAGAGGGUGAUCGGCCACACUGGGACUGAGACACGGCCCAGACUCCUACGGGAGGCAGCAGUAGGGAAUCUUCCGCAAUGGACGAAAGUCUGACGGAGCAACGCCGCGUGAGCGAAGAAGGUCUUCGGAUCGUAAAGCUCUGUUGUCAGGGAAGAACAAGUACCGUUCGAAUAGGGCGGUACCUUGACGGUACCUGACCAGAAAGCCACGGCUAACUACGUGCCAGCAGCCGCCGUAA